UCAUCUUAUCCAGGCCGAUGUGCAGCUCCUGGAUGACAUCCCGGUAGCUGUCCCCGAUCUGGUGGCUCCAGACUACCUUCCCUGAGUGUUUCCAGUGAGCCGGGUGCAGGGCGCGUCUACCUCUCAGAACCCCCAUGAAGGGAAGCCAAGCUCACCCCAAUUUGCAGACCCCGUAGAUGCUAGGUGGCUUGUCCAGGGGUCCCACAGCUCGAGGGCACAGAAGUGGAGGCAGGUCCAGAUUUCCCGGUGCUCAGGCCAAUGGCCUUUCCAACUGUGUGGGCACCACGUGACAUCAGGAACUGAGCACGAGACUUCAUCUCAACGAUUUACAGAUUUCAGAAAAUGGUCUCUGAACUUUGGUAUCUUCAAGUGAAAUUGUUUGAAAAAACUUAAAUGUUUACUAGAUUUGUGCUGCCGAAGAUGUGAAGAGUAUACAGGGAUGUGUUUAUGGUAUGGGGGAGACGUGUGACAAAUUGGUAGAAUUCUGGAUUUAAAUUCUUUUGCUUGAAUAAAAAACAACAACAAGGUCCUACUUAUAGCACAGGAAACUAUAUUCAAUAUCCUGUGAUAAACCAUAAUAGAAAAGAAUAUG